UUCGAGUUCAGUAAAAUUCAAGUAACGUUGUUGUUAGAUCGCUCACUGUUUUUCACUUAAGUUUACUUGUCUAGUUUUUGAAGGGUUAUAAUUUGCUAAGUGGUAUUGUAAAUUAAUAGAGUUUAUUCGCAAUUCAGACCCUAGUUGAUAUUUAUAAAGUUUGGGUACUAAAGUAAUAUUUUGUAGGUUAAGUUUUUGUGUUGAUUCUGCAAAAUAAUUGAACUUCGUUAUUACUUCAAGAUUGAGUUCUUUACAAGAGACGGGCGUUCCGUUGAAUAUUCAGGAAGAAGAACGUUGGUGAGGCUGAUCAUCAUGUUGCUGUCAAUUUCAGUUGUGAAGGAAUGAAAGGGGAGAGAGCGUUGAACAACCAUUCAAUUUUCAAGGUUUUGGAAAGUUUACUAGCUGCAUCAUGUCCAAACACCUUUUCUAACAAAGUUUAUGAAGGAAGAGUAAGAGAGUGGUUUACACAAGCUGGAACAAGAAUGGCAAAUAAAAACAAGAGGAGAUUAUUUUUAGUCUGUGUAAAUGAUUAAUUUUUAUAAUAAAUCUUUAUUUAUCU